rnacentral:rRNA from 1 species
UGGAAGUUAGUAAACUUAGUGGCGGACGGGUGGAGUAACGCGUGGGUAACCGUGCCUCAUACAGGGGAGUAACAGUUAGAAAUAGACUGCUAACACCGCAUAAUAUAGCGAAACCGCAUGAUUUUGCUAUCAAAUAUUUAUAGGUAUGAGAUGGGCCCGCGUCUGAUUAGCUAGUUGGUGGGGUAAAGCCUACCAAGGCGACGAUCAGUAGCCGGCUUGAGAGAGUGACCGGCCACAUUGGGACUGAGACACGGCCCAAACUCCUACGGGAGGCAGCAGUGGGGAAUAUUGGACAAUGGGGGAAACCCUGAUCCAGCGAACCGCCGCGUGAGUGAAGAAGUAUUUCGGUAUGUAAAGCUCUAUCAGCAGGGAAGAUAAUGACAGUACCUGACUAAGAAGCCCCGGCUAACUACGUGCCAGCAGCGGC